CACAUGCAAGUCGAACGGGAAUUACUUUAUUGAAACUUCGGUCGAUUUAAUUUAAUUCUAGUGGCGGACGGGUGAGUAACGCGUGGGUAACCUGCCUUGUACAGGGGGAUAACAGUCAGAAAUGACUGCUAAUACCGCAUAAGCGCACAGGACCGCAUGGUCCGGUGUGAAAAACUCCGGUGGUAUAAGAUGGACCCGCGUUGGAUUAGCUUGUUGGUGGGGUAACGGCCCACCAAGGCGGCGAUCCAUAGCCGGCCUGAGAGGGUGAACGGCCACAUUGGGACUGAGACACGGCCCAGACUCCUACGGGAGGCAGCAGUGGGGAAUAUUGCACAAUGGGGGAAACCCUGAUGCAGCGACGCCGCGUGAAGGAAGAAGUAUCUCGGUAUGUAAACUUCUAUCAGCAGGGAAGAAAAUGACGGUACCUGACUAAGAAGCCCCGGCUAACUACGUGCCAGCAGCCGCGGUAAUACGUAGGGGGCAAGCGUUAUCCGGAUUUACUGGGUGUAAAGGGAGCGUAGACGGAUGGACAAGUCUGAUGUGAAAGGCUGGGGCUCAACCCCGGGGCUGCAUUGGAAACUGCCCGUCUUGAGUGCCGGAGAGGUAAGCGGAAUUCCUAGUGUAGCGGUGAAAUGCGUAGAUAUUAGGAGGAACACCAGUGGCGAAGGCGGCUUACUGGACGGUAACUGACGUUGAGGCUCGAAAGCGUGGGGAGCAAACAGG
rnacentral:rRNA from 1 species